UUUCAUUACUCUGUUAUAACCAUACUUACUUGCUGCCAGCCACUUACCACUACUCUGGUCUUUACCUCUGUGUGAUGGAAAAUUUUGUGCCAAUGUGGCUAAGUCAUGAUGAUCAUAUAUGUGAGUAAACAUUAUUUUCCAUCUUUCUGUAAAGGUGAUAUAAAUGAGAUUAACACUUAACUUGGUGGAUUUUGAAUAAAUAAAACUGCCCCCCAUUAUAUGGGUUGCCCUUCUCUAAUAAGCUGAAAGCCCAAAUAGAGAAAAAUUGAUUGAUCCUCCUUGAGUAACAGGGAAUUUUGCCAGCAGACAGUCUUUGGACAUGAAGACUUCAACUAUGGUGUUGGCUUUUUCAGGUCUCCAGCCUGCCCACCCUGCAGAUUUUGGACAUGACACCUCCACAAUCAUUUGGAACAGGUUUGCUGCCUCAUUACUGAAGAGUAGAGAUAGGACAUAG
rnacentral:lncRNA from 13 species